GGAUAGGGAAAAAGAGAGGAAGAAAAAUUAUCAGAUCCUAUCUCAAAAUACUCUCCUUGCUGUGUGUGUUUGUUAAAUGAAUGACUGAAGAUAUCAUUUAUGUGUAUAUGCGUGGCAUAUUGUCACGCUUCUAAUAAGCAAAAUAUAUUUUAAUGAAAGCUCUUUUAACAUUUUUCAUCACACGCAAAGAAUGAUGUUGGACCCUUCUGUGUGUGUGUGUUAGUCCCUUGGUCCUGUCCGUCUCUUUGAGACCCCUUGGACUGUAGCCUACCAGGCCGCUCUGUCCAUGGAAUUCUCCAGGAGAUCUUCCCCACCCAGGGAUCAAACCCUGGUUUCCUGCAUUAUGGGCAGAUUCUUUAUUGUCUGAGCCUUCAGGGAAGCCCGCGGAUAAGGCUGGACCCUUACCUCUCACCAUAUACAAAAGUUAACUCAAAAGGGAUCAUAGACAGAAAUGUAAGAGCUAUAAAACUUAAAAGAAAACCUGAGAGUAAAUUUUCACAACUUUAGGCAAUAGGAUAAGCAAAAAGAAAGAAUAGAUAAUCUGGAUUUUAUUACAUUUUUAAAGUUCGUGUUUCAAGUAACUCCUUCAAGAAAGUGAAAAGACAGAAUGGGGGAAGAUAUUGUCAAGUUAUAUGUCUGAUGAGGGAGUUGUAUCUAGAAUAUGUAAAGAUGCCCAUAAAUCAACGAUAAAAAGGCAAACAGUUCAGGUUAAAAUUGGGCAAAGGAUUUGAAUAGGCAUUUCUUUAAAAAGAUAUGUAAAUGACCAAUAAAUACAUUUAAAGGUGCUUACCAUCAUUAAUCAUUAGAAAAAUGCUGAUCAAAACCAUAGUAAAAUACCACUUCACACCUAGUGGGAUGGCUGUUAUCAAAAAGACAGGGAAUAACAAGUGUUGAUGGUGAUGUGGGGAAACUGGAACCCUCAUGCAGUGCUGGUGUAGAAGUAUAAAAUGAUGCAGCUGUUUUGGAAAAUAGUUUGGAAGUUUCUCAUAAGUUAAACAUAGAGUUAC
ensembl:lncRNA